CCAAGAGCUGCCUCGUGCUGGGGGAUCCGGCCCAUCCGCGGGAGAGGCCGUGCAGCCGGCGCGCGGGACGAGGGAGGACAAGCAGCGCCGAACCUCAGCAGCGCCCGUCCGGCUGCCACUGCUGCUUCAGUUUAAACUCCGAAGCCCAUUUCCCACAAAGGACGCUCGCCAGGGUCGUCGGCCUGCCGCGCCGCAGGAGGGGCUGAAUCCCAACUUUGGACUGUUUUAUUCCCGCGGGAGGAGCACAAGCGGCCGGACACCAGCUGCCAGGCGGUGCCGGUCCUCUCGCAGGACUCGCCGCCGCUGUGCGGGGACGCUUGCUCGUCGGCUGUGCCACAGCAAGAGACUUACGUCCCUGCUCGAGCUGUGACCAGAGAGAAGCGUGACGCGUGGCAAGAGGUGGAGACGGCCCCUUGGCCGAAAGCCUGGGCGCGAUGCCGGGGUCGAUCUGCUCCCCAGGGAUGAGGAAAGGCAGACGCGGUGAAAGCUGCUCAGCACAUAACAUGAUGCUGAACCCGCUUGGGGACCAAGGUCUCCUGCCAGGUUUCGCCUUCGGUCUCAGAAGAAACAUCUCUUCCCCACGCGCUGCACGUCCCRAGCCCUCUUCCGUGGGAGCAGCGAAUCCAUGCACCGGAGAAGCCCCAGGUCCGCGCUUGAUC
rnacentral:lncRNA from 1 species